CGGCGUCACGAGUGGCAAUCACAUUUAUUGGGUCUAAAGCGUUCGUAGCCGGUUUAGUAAAUCUUUUGUGAAAUUGUCGGGCUUAACUCGACAGCGUGCAGAAGACACUACUAGACUUGAGACCGGGAGGGGUUAGAAGUAUUUUAGGGGGAGCGGUAAAAUGUUAUAAUCCCUGAAGGACUACCAAUGGCGAAGGCAUCUAACCAGAACGGAUCUGACGGUGAGGAACGAAGGCCAGGGGAGCGAACCGGAUUAGAUACCCGAGUAGUCC
rnacentral:rRNA from 1 species